UUACUCAUUGGUGGUGCCUUUGCACAGGUCAGUCGUGACACUCGUGUGUGAAGUGUUCAGGGAAGGGAUCACAAGGCUGGGAGUUUCCCUGUUAUUUUCACUUUCAGGGAAGGAUCCUGUUGGCAAGACAUCCCCGGGCUGAUGUGACAUCACCAGGGGAGUGCUCUAGGCCAUCCUCCUGCAUGAGACAUCAGCACACAUCACCAGCAGCACUCAUUGCCUGAUAACAGCUCUGCCAGCUGAAGAUAAUGGAAUUUCACAGAAAAGGGCAGCUCUUGCAACCUCCAUUGACCCCAGCAGCAGAACUGUACUUCGUGCUGUGACUUUGGGAACAGCGACACACGUGAUGAAAUGUUCAGCUGUACAUAAUGUUUUUGCCAGAUGUCUUGGCAAAGUAAAUGGCAGACUUCAGUCUUCCUUGCAGUCACUUUGUGCUGCUGAAAACCCUGAAUGUGAUGGCACCCAGGGAAAACUGAGGAUCCGGAGAGGAGCAGUGACAAAGACUGAUAAAACGACAUCAUCCCAUUGUGGGAUGCUCCACCCAGGGGGAGGAGCCCAGCAUUCCUACCCGGAUAUAAUCUGAGACUCAGAACACCACAGGCAGCCUUUCUCCAUUGGAUUCACCAACACUGAACCUUCACAGCAUUCAUGAGAGUGGCCCACGCACAGAGCAACGUAAGAAGGGAAUGGCCUUUGUGCUCGGGACAGAAUGUCUCAGAACAUAAUGAAUGAAACACAAAUGUGUGAGUGGCGCUGACGCCGCCGCGCGUUACCCCGUCAGCAUCCCGGUGUGAGCUGGGCGUCACGGCCAGCACACUCACAUGUGAAGCAGCACAGUGGAGAUAGAGACCUCCUUUUCUGAGUGACAGAGCCCUGUGGCUCCUCCGUGGGGCAGCGCACCCGACACCGAGUGCACGGAAGGCACCCCGAGAGAGAGCGGAACAUCUGGACUGCUGUUCAGUAAACAAGACGUGAGCAAGUCACGCCCCUCCAGAUAAUCUCUUGUUCAAAGUGAAAGCUCACCACAGAAAUUUGGAAAAGGAGGUGGAAGGAGCGGGGCAGGAUUCCUAUUAUGCUUGGAAACAAUUUAAAUAUGUCAAUAUUAAGGGAGCGUAAUUACCACUCAAGCAAUUCCAGCAAACAAGUCGGUAACAGUGCCUGCUUUACGGGAAGUGCAUUUCCUCUUGGCAGUCUCCUGGCUGGGGAUUAUUGAGUGUGCAGCUCUCCCUCCAUCCACUUCACUGGGGAACCUCCCAGUCAGGCAGGGCCACAGAGCAGUUUGGUAACAUAAGGGACCAUGAGGGCCAACCUCAGCCCUUUGCAAGUGAUGCCCUAACCCCUGGCAAGCUCUGCUCAGGUCUGAGGACACGGAGCAGCCCCACGGUGCUGAGAGGCACCAACCCAUGCUGUCCUUGGGGUCAGCAGUGACCAUCAUUCCUGUGGUCAAGGUCACAGGCAGUAACCUGGUGCUGCUCUGCUUCCCAGAGCAUCUGCCUGGAUCUUCCAUUGCAGCCAUGCUGUGGAAAGAGGCAGAGGAAGGAGAGGGCUGUGGUUCAGGGGCUGGACUCUGUGCCCAGAUCUCCUGAGUCAGCUCCCAGCAUCACCACCGAUGUCCAUGUCAUGUCAGACAAGUCACUUCACCUUGGUGACGCCGGCUCCGGCCUCAAAACCCUUCUGUGGUCCUGCUGUGUGACAACGCAGCAGGGUCACUCUGGCUUGGGGAAGUUACUCAGGGCCUUUGACUCCUGUUUUGAAAACACUGAACCCAAAAGUCAGGUUCCUUGAGCCAUUAGUCACUGAAGAAACAACAGCUUCCCAAAGCUGCUGGGAGGAACAACCUCCCCCUCCUGUCAGAGAUGCUCAGGGUGCAGCUGGGCUGGCAUAAGAUCCAGAGAGACAUCAAAACUGGAUCAUUCCCAUGAACAAUGGGAAUUAUCUCAUGGGAAAGUUGCCCUGUGGAGUGGCCACCCUGCAGCUGUUCCCUCUGGGAUCACACACAGGUGCUGCUGACCACUCAGCUACCACUUACACAAUAGCCCACUAAGGACACAAAAAAACCCAAUCUUCAACUAAAGAGGUGCAAUUAACCUGCAUCACUCAUUAGAGAGGGCCUGUGUAUAAUCCUCAUUACUGGAUCUGUGUGUUUUCCAUCAUCUCUGUCUGCUGUGCAAGUCCUUUCAUCCACACUUGCAGAUGGUGAACCAAUAUCUCAGGAGUUUGGAAUGAGAGGAGCUUUAAGUUCCCUUUCAACCCAAACUAUUCCGGGAUUCUGUGAUUUUGCCACCCUUUUGACUAGUUUUGAAUUGUACUGACUCAGCAUUGCCCAGGAUGUUCUUUACAAGCCUGAUGUGAAGUGUAUGAGUGCUCAUUAUUGUCCAUAACACAUGGACCAUGGUAUGAACCCUUUUAAAUUCGCUAAAAGCACUUGAAUAUUUUUAAUUAA